rnacentral:rRNA from 1 species
AUUGAACGCUGGCGGCAGGCCUAACACAUGCAAGUCGAGCGGAUGAAGGGAGCUUGCUCCUGGAUUCAGCGGCGGACGGGUGAGUAAUGCCUAGGAAUCUGCCUGGUAGUGGGGGAUAACGUCCGGAAACGGGCGCUAAUACCGCAUACGUCCUGAGGGAGAAAGUGGGGGAUCUUCGGACCUCACGCUAUCAGAUGAGCCUAGGUCGGAUUAGCUAGUUGGUGGGGUAAAGGCCUACCAAGGCGACGAUCCGUAACUGGUCUGAGAGGAUGAUCAGUCACACUGGAACUGAGACACGGUCCAGACUCCUACGGGAGGCAGCAGUGGGGAAUAUUGGACAAUGGGCGAAAGCCUGAUCCAGCCAUGCCGCGUGUGUGAAGAAGGUCUUCGGAUUGUAAAGCACUUUAAGUUGGGAGGAAGGGCAGUAAGUUAAGACCUUGCUGUUUUGACGUUACCAACAGAAUAGCACCGGCUAACUUCGUG